CUGGUCUUCUAUUACACCUCCAGAAUUAUGAUGAAGUUUUGUUGUUUGAUUGUAAUCAUCUUCUGCACAAUUUAUGUGAUUAAUGGCGGCAUACUCACCAGACAAUGUCUUGCUUCUCAUGGUAAAUGUGGAACAAAAGGUCUAACGUGUGAACAAAAGUUUGGACAAGGAUGGAUUAAAAAGGGCAGAUGCUGCAACGAAAAGCC